rnacentral:rRNA from 1 species
GGGGGGGGGGGGGGGGGGGGGGGGGGGGGGGGGGGGGGGGGGGGGGGGGGGGGGGGGGGGGGGUGGGGGGGGGGCGGGCGGGGGGGUGACGCGUGGGGGGCGUGCGCUGGGGUUUGGGGGGACUGCGGGGGGCGGGGGGUAGUGCCGGGUAGGAGCUCCUGCUGCCUGGUGUGGGUUGGAAAGGUUCGGCGGUUGGGGAUGGACUCGCGGGUUGUCAGCUGGUUGGUGGGGUAGUGGCUUACCAAGGCUUUGACGGGUAGCCGGCCUGAGAGGGUGACCGGCCACAUUGGGACUGAGAUACGGCCCAGACUCCUACGGGAGGCAGCAGUGGGGAAUAUUGCACAAUGGGCGGAAGCCUGAUGCAGCAACGCCGCGUGCGGGAUGACGGCCUUCGGGUUGUAAACCGCUUUCGCCUGUGACGAAGCGUGAGUGACGGUAAUGGGUAAAGAAGCACCGGCUAACUACGUG